GCUGUUCUAGGCUCACUAACUGGAUCCACAGAUGGCACCCACUGCUGGGCAAGGCACUGCUGCUUGUUGGCACCCUGCAUCUGGAUGUACUGUCUGCCAGGUGUGGUAUCCUCCACUUCCUCUGCCUCCUGACCAACCCCGGUGCUUCCCCAGGUGGUCUCCAUGGUGUGCCAAGCCCCUUCUCUUGGCAAUUUUCGGCAGGCUUUACAAGAAGCAUGGUGUCAGCAUCUGCAUCUGGUGAGCAUCCCAGGCUGCUUCCAUUCAUGUGGAAGGCAAAGGAGCAGCAGACAUGUCACACGGCAAGAGCAGGACUGAGAGAGAAGAGUGAGGCACCAGACUCUUAAACAAUCAGAUCUGUGGGUAACUCAUGACCAUGAGGUUGGCACUAAGCCAUUCAUGAAGGAACCGACCCCAUAACCCAAACGCCUCCCACCUCCAACAUCAGGGAUCACAUUUCAACAUCAGAUUUAAAGAGUACAAACAUCCAAACUGCAUUAGAGGUACAGGCUGCAGCCCAACCAGAUCUUGUUCUUCUCAAGGACUCUUGUAAAUGUUCAGGGAAGCUAAAGCUGGACUGCAACCCAGAGACUUCACCCCGAGACUCCACCCAGCUUCUCUACCCCUGGAAGACUUCAUCCAACAGUGGCAGUGCUGCCCUCUUCUUAGGCUUGAGCUUAGUGCUCAGCUUUCCAAAACAGGACAUCCCAUCAUUUUGGGAUACAUAAAAAGGAAGCAAAGCCAUUUGGACGGCAUGGAAACAAUGCACACCCAAGUGGCAGGGAAAGGAGAGGAUGCCCAUCGUGUUGAUCAGACUCAGCUGCUAGAAGACUCACUGGCACUCUGA
rnacentral:lncRNA from 1 species